rnacentral:rRNA from 1 species
GUUAGCGGCGGACGGGUGAGUAACACGUGGGUAACCUACCUAUAAGACUGGGAUAACUUCGGGAAACCGGAGCUAAUACCGGAUAACAUUUGGAACCGCAUGGUUCUAAAGUGAAAGAUGGUUUUGCUAUCACUUAUAGAUGGACCCGCGCCGUAUUAGCUAGUUGGUAAGGUAACGGCUUACCAAGGCAACGAUACGUAGCCGAGCUGAGAGGGUGAUCGGCCACACUGGAACUGAGACACGGUCCAG